rnacentral:rRNA from 1 species
CGUAGGGUGCAAGCGUUGUCCGGAAUUAUUGGGCGUAAAGAGCUCGUAGGCGGUCUGGUCGCGUCGGAUGUGAAAACCCGGGGCUUAACCCCGGGCCUGCAUUCGAUACGGGCAGACUCGAGUGUGGUAGGGGAGACUGGAACUCCUGGUGUAGCGGUGAAAUGCGCAGAUAUCAGGAAGAACACCGGUGGCGAAGGCGGGUCUCUGGGCCACUACUGACGCUGAGGAGCGAAAGCGUGGGGAGCGAACAGGAUUAGAUACCCUGGUAGUCCACGCCGUAAACGUUGGGCGCUAGGUGUGGGGGACUUUCCGACGGUCCUCCGUGCCGCAGCUAACGCAUUAAGCGCCCCGCCUGGGGAGUACGGCCGCAAGGCUA